UUAAAAAGGGUCAUUUAGUCGAAUCGCCGGUCAACCGCAAGUUAGCGGGCAUUCCGAGGGCCUAACACCUUCUCAAAAUGUACAUUUGAACUUCGUACUUUUUUCAAUUGAUCUUUAUCUGUUUUAAAUCUUUUGAAAAUUAAUUACUAAGUUUUUCUUGAUUUUAUCAAAAAUCAAGUGGCGACUCCGUAAUUUUGAAAAAUUGAUUUCUCUUAAAUCAUAAGAUUAAUUGGUUUUUCGAAACUUAGUCAUUUUUCACUAUUAUAUAUACAUUAUAUAUUUUUAAGCAAAACAAUACCUUGUGGGAGAGGAUUUGUGGGAUGUUGUUAAUGGGAAUGUAAUAAGUCCUCCUGCCGACAAACCGAAAAAUAAUAGUGCACACAAGAAGUGGAAGCAGGUUAAUGCGAAGGCAGAGUUCAUUCUGAAGAGGACAAUCUCCUCCGGUUUAUUUGAUCACAUUAUAAAGUGUAAAUCAGCUCACGAGAUAUGGCGGACCCUCGAUCGCUUGUUCAACAUGAAGAAUGAAUCUCGGUUGCAGAUAUUGGAGAAUGAACUGGCUAACACCACUCAAGCACUGCUUUGCUUUGACAUGUUUGUCAUUGUUGACUCAUUUUUUUGGAGGGGGAUUUCAAAUCGCGAGUGUGCCGUACGUCCUGGUAAAAUAGAAGCUGCUACGCCACUGGUUGCUGUCGCCAAAGCUAUCAUACCUCUUGAUCGAAAUGUUGGCAAGCAAUGCACGAUAUAGGUACUUUCACGGACAGUUCUUCAUUUAUUUCUCUACAUUUUGAUGGGCCAACUUCGAGCAAUUUGUGAUGUAUUUGAGGUGUAGUUGAAGAUUGAUGAUUGGAGGUUGCAUUUAACUUAAGUUGAAUUCAUAUAUUCUCCACAGCGCUUCAGAAGGUGAUACCUACCGCGCAUCUUGGAAUGCUUGACUCUCGUCGAUAACUUUUUCACCAUCUUCAGACUGAAUAUAAAUGGCACAUCGAUCAUGACCUUUAUAGAUAUACUUGUAUAGAUAUUUUAUUGCUUUGACUCCUGAACAUACCUCAACAUUAAUUUGGCUAUUGUAUCUUGUAAGAAAAUAAAGGCCAUAAGGUACAACCCAUUGAUUAAUCAUAUUUAUU